AGCAGCCGCGGUAAUUCCAGCUCCAAUAGCGUAUAUUAAAGUUGUUGCAGUUAAAAAGCUCGUAGUUGAAUUUCGGGGUCAUCAAGUUGGUCGUGCCACUGGUAUGCACUGGCUUUGCUGAUUCCUCCUUCUUGAAGAACUGUAAUGCUAUUAAUUUAGUGUUGCAGGGAAACAGGACUGUUACUUUGAAAAAAUUAGAGUGUUUAAAGCAGGCUAACGCUUGAAUACAUUAGCAUGGAAUAAUGAAAUAGGACGUUUGAUCCUAUUUUGUUGGUUUCUAGGAUUGACGUAAUGAUUAAUAGGAUAGUUGGGGCAUUAGUAUUCAAUUGUC
rnacentral:rRNA from 1 species